rnacentral:rRNA from 1 species
UACGUAGGGGGCAAGCGUUAUCCGGAUUUACUGGGUGUAAAGGGAGCGUAGACGGCGAUGCAAGCCAGAUGUGAAAGCCCGGGGCUCAACCCCGGGACUGCAUUUGGAACUGUGUGGCUGGAGUGUCGGAGAGGCAAGUGGAAUUCCUAGUGUAGCAGUGAAAUGCGUAGAUAUUAGGAGGAACACCAGUGGCGAAGGCGGCUUGCUGGACGAUGACUGACGUUGAGGCUCGAAAGCGUGGGGAGCAAACAGG